GACGAACGCUGGCGGCGUGCUUAACACAUGCAAGUCGAACGGAAAGGCCCUGCUUUUGUGGGGUGCUCGAGUGGCGAACGGGUGAGUAACACGUGAGUAACCUGCCCUUGACUUUGGGAUAACUUCAGGAAACUGGGGCUAAUACCGGAUAGGAGCUCCUGCUGCAUGGUGGGGGUUGGAAAGUUUCGGCGGUUGGGGAUGGACUCGCGGCUUAUCAGCUUGUUGGUGGGGUAGUGGCUUACCAAGGCGUCGACGGGUAGCCGGCCUGAGAGGGUGACCGGCAACACGGGAACGGAGACACGGUCCAGAGUACGAAGGGAGGCAGCAGUGGGGAAUAUGGGACAAGGGGCGAAAGCCUGAGCCAGCGAUAACGCGUGGGUGAAGAAGGCCGUCGGGUUGUAAAGACCUUUUGUUGGGAAAGAAAAGCAGCAGGUUAAUACCCCGCUGUUCUGACGGUACACAAAGAAUAAGCACCGGCUAACUUCGUG
rnacentral:rRNA from 1 species